AUGUGAGGGUGAUCUGAAUGUGACAUGUCUUACCCCAUUGAUCACCAGGGUUUGAUUCUGCUGAUGUGGCUGGCUAGGCUGGCGGCCCCUUCCUCACUCACUGCUAAAUGUGUGUGUUUCUCCUGAAGCUGUGAGCUUGGUCCCUGAAUGAAGACUGAUCAUUCUUUGGUUGGUGGAGUGUAGACAAGUAGCUGCCCUCCCCUGCUCAAACCUCCAAACAGUAUCUCAACAUUAAACUGUAUUUAUCAGAUAGGAAAGGAAGAAAUCAAACCCUCACUAUUUGCAGAUGUAUACAUAAUACAUAAUAC
rnacentral:snRNA from 1 species